rnacentral:rRNA from 1 species
CCUACGGGGGGCAGCAGUGGGGAAUAUUGGACAAUGGGGGGAACCCUGAUCCAGCCAUGCCGCGUGUGUGAAGAAGGCCCUCGGGUUGUAAAGCACUUUCAGUGAGGAAGAACGCCUGGUGGUUAAUACCCAUCAGGAAAGACAUCACUCACAGAAGAAGCACCGGCUAACUCCGUGCCAGCAGCCGCGGUAAUACGGAGGGUGCGAGCGUUAAUCGGAAUUACUGGGCGUAAAGCGCGCGUAGGUGGCUUGAUAAGCCGGUUGUGAAAGCCCCGGGCUCAACCUGGGAACGGCAUCCAGAACUGUCAAGCUAGAGUGCAGGAGAGGAAGGUAGAAUUCCCGGUGUAGCGGUGAAAUGCGUAGAGAUCGGGAGGAAUACCAGUGGCGAAGGCGGCCUUCUGGACUGACACUGACACUGAGGUGCGAAAGCGUGGGUAGCAAACAGGAUUAGAUACCCCAGUAGUC